rnacentral:lncRNA from 1 species
GAAUCAAAUCAAUAAAAUCAGUUCCAUUUGAUUAUCUUUGUCUCUGAUUAUCAUUUACAACAUGGUAUCAGAGCAGGUUUCUUCUGAUCCGUGGAUGCUUUGUUCUUCAAUCUCAAAUCAGUAAGAUCAAAAACAAACUUUGGAAUAUCAAAUCUCCAACCAAAAAAAAAAAACCAAAACCCCAAAAACGUUCGAUCAAAUCAAUCGUUCAACAAACCGUUCGACCAAACCUUUCAAAUCUGUGAUUUCUCUGUUUCUUCGUUGCUCCUUCUUCAUAGGUUCACAUCGGCCCAGAUCGUCCAGAUCCAAAAUCAAAAUCAAGUUUCGAAAAAAAGGUCAGAGAUCCGUUCCAUAAUAACAGUCUUCGUCCUCACAGUCUUGGUUGCCCCCAACGAACCAUCCUCACGAACACUCGUUCUUGUUCCUAAAUCUAUUCAGAUCAUCAGGAUCAAUCCCGCUUUCAUAACCCACAAACCAAACUCAACAAAGUUCAAAUCUUUACCAUCAAAUCCCCAAUUAAACUCAAAAAAAAUCAAAGCUUCAAAGCUAAAAAAAUCAAAACCAAAACUAAAACCAAACCAAAACAAAAAAAACAAAAAAACAAAAACGCAAAUCAAAACUAAUGCCAAGACCUAAAUGGCCAAGUUGAAUUUUUUCAACUUGAGGGGAAACCAAAACCCAAAAUCGGUUGCCAUGUCGAAAGACGGUAACUCAAUAGAUCAAACUACCAUGUCAAGGAGACGGUAGCCAAACCAAAAACCAAUCAAAACCCAAAAUCAAAACCAAUCCAAGUUGAAUCAUGGAUAUCCCACAAUUCAACUUGAGGGGGAGUGUUAGAAAUAGAAAAAAAAUAAUUUAGAAAAAUAAAAGAUCCCUAACAUCAUCUCCAUAUUUAAGUAUUUCCUUUUAUUUGUUCUUGUAAAGCCUAUAAAUAAAGGCUCGUUUUUCCCUGUUUUGUAUGCAAGAAUCAAAUCAAUAAAAUCAGUUCCAUUUGAUUAUCUUUGUCUCUGAUUAUCAUUUACAACACUAUCAUAUAUAUAACAACAGAAUCGCUUGUUAUGUUGUAUUUAAGCCAACCCACCCCAUCAUCUCUAAGCAAUUUCUUUCUUUAUUAGUGUUGGUCACAUGAUAAUUUAGGGAUGAAUUGAGUACCAAGACAACUGCAUGUGAGGUGAGGAAUCAAUCACCAUCCUUUCUUUCAUUGUUUUUAGCCUUAACUUUGGAAUUUGGUCAUGUCUCAAAUUUCUAAAGAUGGAAACGGGGUGGGGUAUUACUAUACCUAG